AGAAUUAUAUAUGGGUGGCACCUUUAUUCAAUGGGAAGUAGGGGGACAUGCCAACCAACGAGGCAGUAUUGCUAGUCUUGCUGAAUUGAAUACUCUGUCUUGUUUGACCACUUUAGAAGUCCAUAUUCCUGAUGCCGAGGCCAUAUCAAGGGGCUUGCUCUUUAAAGAGUUGCACAAGUUGAUCAGAUACCAGAUUUUCAUAGGAAAGGAAUGGGAAUGGUUUGGUGAGUAUGAGCAUUCAAGGACUCUGAAACUCAAGUUAAGUACAAGUAUUGAUCAUUUGGAUCAUGGAAUUAAGUUGCUAUUGAAGAAAACUGAAGCUUUAUAUUUAGAUGACCUUAAAAGUGUCACGAUUGCAAUGCAAGAGUUCAAAGAUGAAGAAAGCUUAUCGCAUUUGAAGAAUCUCCAUAUCCAAAAUGAUUCAGUGAUCAAAUAUAUCAUUAUUGAUAAUGGUAUAGUUGAUAAAAAUGAAUUUCUUCAAUUACAAUCUUUGACACUUCAAAAUCUACCUCAGCUCAUUAGUUUUUGUUCUGAAGAUGAAAACGGCUCUACCUCCAGGGUUCAAGAUGAGUUGCCUCUAUUUAGUGAAAAGUCGUUGUUCCCUUGCUUGGAGAAUUUGCGGUUGUCCUCAAUUAGUGUUGAAAGGAUAUGGCAUGAUUCUUUCUGCAAUCAUGAGAAUUUGACAAGUUUGAUCAUCGAGAAUUGUGGCAACUUAAAACGUUUAUUAUCAUUUUCUAUGUCUAGGAAGCUAGUGCAUCUCAAAUGCUUUGAGAUAAUUGGAUGCAAGUGCCUAAGAGAGAUAAUUUUUGCAGAGGAUAUAGAGGAAGAAAGCAAAGAUACGAUUUUAUUUCCUCAAUUAAACUCUCUAAAGUUACAAGAUCUUCAGCAUCUCAUUGGAUUUUUGUUAGAACGUCGGAAUAUUGAAUUUCCGUCCUUGAAGUCACUAAAGAUAGAGAAAUGCCCAGAACUAAAGGGGUUCAUAUACGAAUCUACAAUGGAAGGGAGCCAAAAUUUUUCUAGUCAAGUUCUCUUUGACGAAAAGGUUGCAUUUCUUAGUUUGGAGAAAAUUUCUAUUUCCAAAUUGAGAAACAUGAAGAUGAUAUGGAAGAACCAACUCGCUGCGAAUUCCUUUCACAAACUACAGGAAAUGGAAGUUGAAGAAUGUGACCAGCUACUGACCAUUUUUCCAUCUAAUAUGUUGAGAGCAUUUCAAGGACUGCAAACUCUAACAGUUCAUAAAUGUGUUUCGGUAGAAGAAGUAUUUGAAGUCGGAAGCUCAAAUAUGGAAGAAACAGGUGCUGUCACCAGUCAACUAAGAGAGUUGCAUAUUUGGCAUCUACCAAGCCUCAAGAAUAUUUGGAAGAAUGAUCCCAAAGGAAUUUUUACAUUUGAAAAUCUGCGGGUAAUAAGUGUUUGGGAUUGUUGCAGUCUGAAGAAUGUAUUUCCAGCCUCAGUAGCCAGAGUUCUUCCACAACUUAGAGAUCUUCACAUAAAUGAUUGCGGAGUGGAAGAAAUUGUUUCCAAGGAGGAAGGAUUGGAAACAACUGUCACUUUCAGGUUUGAUCAAGUAUGCUACCUUCGUCUUUGGCAGCUACCAGAACUCAAAUGCUUUUACCCGGAGGUACAUACGACAAAGUGGCCAAUGUUAAAAAAGUUAAAAGUAUUUGGCUGUGACAAAAUGAAGAUAUUUGGUACAGAACGUCUCAGCAUCUCAGAUAUGGCUAAAGUCGAUGGACAACUUGAGUCCACUUUAAUCCAACCACCGCUUUUGUUGGCUGAAAAGGUCAUCCCUCAAUUAGAAAAAUUGUCAUUAAAUAUUGAUGACAUUAAUGCAAUGAUAAGUGAUAGUCAAUUUUCAAGAAGCCUUUUUCGUGAAAUAAAAGUUCUUAGGGUGUGCAACUCUGGUGAUGAAUCUGUUGUUUUCCCAAUUACUUUCCUAGAAAGAUUUCAAAAUCUAGAAAAGCUUGUGGUGAUUUCUUAUGAAUUCAAAGAGCUGUUCUGCGAUGAAAGAGAUAGUGGUAUGGAGACAUAUGCUGGGACACUGCCCACGAUCAGAAGCCUAAAAUUGAUUUGUCUUGAUAAUCUCAAACAUUUAUGGAAGCAGGACGUACAAGUAGACCGCAUUCUCCCUAAUCUGGAAACUCUUCAAGUCCACCAGUGUGACGAACUUAUUAGUUUAGGAUCAUCCUCAGCAUCGUUUCAAAAUCUCUUGACGUUGGAUGUGUGUAGCUGUGGCGCAAUGAUAUGCUUAGUUACAUCUUUAGCAGUCCAAAGUCUGGCGCAACUCAAAAAAUUGAGGAUAAGACAGUGCAUUUCCAUGAAGGAAAUAGUUGGAAAUGAGGGUGAUGAAGCAACAUACAACAUUAAUUUCAGCAAGUUGAAAAGUUUGGAACUCUGUGAUUUACCACAAAUUACAAGCUUUUGUUCAGGCAACCAUACAUUUGGGUUCCCAUCUUUAGAAGAAGUAAUUAUGAACAAAUGUCCCGAAAUGGAGAUUUUCUGUAAGGGAGUUUUAAAUGCGCCAAUGCUGGAAAGAGUACAAGUAACAGACAAAGAUGGUAAGGGACACUGGGGUGGUGACCUUAACAGCACUGUCCAACAAUUGUACGCCGAAAAGGUUGGAUACAAAGGAGUGGAGUAUGUAGUACUCUCCGAGUUUUCUAAGUCAACAGAAAUAUGGAAAGAGAAUCCUGAAGGAGUUUUCAAUUUCGUAAAUCUUACAUAUUUGGAAGUUUACAAGUGUAAGAGCUUGAAGUACAUAUUUACUGUUUCUAUGGCUUUGGAUCUUCUGCAAUUGAAGGAGAUAAAAGUAAGAAAUUGCCCUAUGAUGGAGCAAAUAAUCACAAGAGAAGGAGCAGAGGAAGCAUCAAUCGUGUUGCCCAGGCUUCAGUCUAUAACUCUUAGGUCAUGUUCCAACCUGAGGAGCUUUUCUUUGGGAAGUAUUACAAUGGAAUGUCCAUCUUUGCAAUGUAUCGAUGCAGUUAAUUGUUCAAAAUUGUUAGCAUUGGCAUCUACAUUUGUAGGAGAGAAGGAUACAGAGACAGUCGCAGCCUUUUUCAAUGAUAAGGUUGUGUGUCCAAAUUUGGAGAUUGUGCGACUAUCCUCAAUUGACGUUCAGAGAAUAUGGGAUGACCAACUUCCUGAAAUGUCUUCUUAUGUUCAAAAUUUAAAACAAUUGACUGUCAGGGGCUGUAGAAAUCUAGAAGAAGUUAUCUUUAUAGAAGGAUUACCAGAAGAUGGCAUGUUGAGCCAAAUAUUCCCUAAACUAGAAAUUUUGCAAUUCAUAGGCCUUCCCAAACUCGCAAGAUUCUGCCAUGGAAGUUACUUUGAAUUCCCCUUGUUAAGACAGCUUAUAAUGAAGAACUGUCCUGCAUUGAAGACAUUCAUCUCCGAUUCUACGGUGACAAACGAAACUCUUAUUUGUCAAAAAGCGAAAGGAAACAACUCAGAUAUUGAUUCCCCUCCUCUCUUUAGUGAAAAGCAGGUGGCUUUCCCUCAAUUAAAGAAAUUGGGAAUCGUAGGGAUGGCAAACUGCAGAAAGAUAUGGCCUGAUCAACUCGUUGGUUAUUCAUUUUGCAAGCUAAAUGAUUUGUGGGUGUACGAAUGCAAUCGACUGUUGAGCAUUUUUCCACUUAAUAUGAGGGCAAGACUCCAGAAUCUAGAGGAGUUCCGAAUAAGAGAAUGUGAUUCAUUAGAAGAAAUAUUUGAACAUGAAGUGCUCAAUACCAACGACUUACAUUCAGUGACUGCCACUCAAUCCAUUGCGGAAGAAACAACCACCAAUUUUGUAUUUCCUAAACUAACAUACUUGGAACUUUAUAUGCUGCCCAGAUUGAGGAGUUUCUGCUCUACGAUACAUACUACGGAGUGGCCAUCAUUAAAGGAAAUGUGGAUAUAUGGAUGUGACAAAGUGGAGAUAUUUGCUUCAGAAAAUAUUCGGAGCUUUGGAGAAUCAACAAAUCAACAAGCCCUGUUUUGGGUAAAUGAGGUUACAUUUCCCAAUCUGGAAGAAUUAAAAUUGGAGUGGAAUGACAUUAUGAAAGAGAUAUGGCAUGGACAACUUAGAGCAAACUUUUUCUACAAACUAAAAGUUCUUGAGCUCAUUCACUUUCCUGAUCAAUCAGCUGUUUUCCCACAUUGUUUUAUUCAGUCAUUACCAAAUUUAGAAAAGCUUGCUGUUAGUGAAGCUUCCUUUAGUCAUAUAUUCCAUUUUGAAGGAUUUGAUGGUCAGAAAAAUCAUGCAUCGGCAAUCACUUCGUUGAAUGAAUUGGUGCUGUCUGAACUUCCUGAGCUAACACAUCUUUGGAAGGAAGAAUACCACCCCAUACCAGCUUUCUGUGAACUGAGAACUCUUCAAGUGCGGGAUUGUGGCAAAUUAAAGAUUUUAGCGCCAUCAUCAGUGUCUUUUGAAAAUUUAACAACUUUGGAAGUUUCAAGAUGUCAUGGAUAUGUGAAUUUGAUAGCAUGCUCAACAGCUAAGAGCCUAGUGCAACUCUCAAGAAUGACCAUAACUGAUUGUGAGAUGAUAGAGAAAAUCAUAGCAUGUGAGUCUGAGGAAGUGAAAGGAGACAUUGUUUUUACUGAACUGAAGUAUUUGCAACUAAGUUGUCUACCAAAUAUGGCUAGCUUCUGCUUAGGGGAUCACAACUUGGAAUUCCCUAUCUUGGAGAAAAUGAUUGUGAGAAAAUGCCCAAAGAUGAAGAUUUUCUGCCAAGGAGAUUUAAGCACACCACAACUCCAAAAAGUGAUAUUGACAGAAGAUGGAGAUGAAGAAAAUGGGCAGUGGGAAGGCGAUCUUAAAACUACUAUAAAACGGAUGUUUGAAGAAGAGGUUAUAGAAUACCAAGCAUAGAGGAGUUGCAAGAUGAUAGAUUUGCUACUGGAAGUGUAGACGAGUCUCUUCAAACAACUUAGAAGUUUUGUAUAUCUGCACCUUGCAGGCCAGUGCUCGUAGCAUUUCACACAAGAUGCAUGCUGCACCCACAUCAUUAAGUUCCUAGGUUCGAGGGCUAACAGAAGAAUUGACUGAAAUCUCGUCUGAAAAGCACAAUAGAAAUCAGAUAAUAGAUAUGACUUGUAGGAUAGCAAGAGAUGAAGCAACUUCAACUGCACUUCCACUUCCAAAAUAUCACUGAAGGUGAGGGAAGAAAUGUAGGAGGAGAUGAACCACAAGCAUGCUAAUAUUGACAUUUCAUAGAACUCAAGCUUUGUUCCAAAGUCAGAGCCUCAUAGGUACAGUCAAACAGAGUUCAUUCUACAAACCUGAGACACGCACGCAUACUAAGUGCAAUGGUCUUAUUAAUCAUAUGAAGAGCAUCACUCGCAUCAUAUUUCUGCCUGAUGCUAUGCUUUGCAGACUCUGAACAACUUUUUAUGAGUGGUCUUAGGAAGCCCAGUCGCUGAGCAUCGACAAUUGGAUGCAUAGAGGGACUCCAUGAUGAUGUUGACAAGGAAGCAGCUGGAUAAAGUACUUAGAUGGUUGGGUUACACUGCGAUCAAGUUAGAUGGGCUGCAUCGAAUACUAUUACAAUAGAAGAUGCUGAUGUUGGGAGGGAAAUCGAGCUGGUUCGCAAGCUCUAUCAGAGCAUCCCUCAAUCUGCUGUCCUUUGUGAGAGUGGCCUGAACAGUUGAAGAGUGGUUUCCACAAGCAAAAAUUUCUUCAUUUAUUGCCCAUGAUGUAACUAGCAUUAUAAUAUUAAGCGCUGUCUUCUAUACUUCAUGUUCAAAUUGCAUGUAAGUUGGCUAUGAUUAAAACCUUUCAGUUCAACUUGAACUCUUAGAUGGUUCUGUUUUUACAUUUAGCAUGAUCCAAUGAGCAAUACAUGAAGAUUGUACAGUCU